CGAAAAGUCAAAGACCAAAACCUGUGCAACGAAAGGAAAAUGUAGAAGAUACAUCACAACCUGUUUCAAAAUUUAAUGAAGUUCAGCAAAUGCAAGCAGAUACCGAGUCACCAGUGCUUGGAACAAGUAGUUUUUCUGAAUAUGCAACUGUCAAUAGGAAGGCAAAAGCAGACAACACAGAAACAGAAGAUAUUCAUUAUGCAACAAUCAAUUUUCAGAGAACUGCACCAGAUUAUGGCUCAGUGGGUGUAUCUUCUCUCUGGCAGCUCAAGUACCACGGGAGAGAUGUGAGCACAGUAAUAUAGUAUUGCAGCAAUGGGAGCAAAAAGGGAGCAGAGAGAACACAGAGCAACAAAAAUCCUUCAGAAGUUGAAUUGGACACUUCAAACGAAGAAGAUUCCUUUACUAUCUAUGCACAAAUAGCACAUGUGUAAGAUCAAUAAUCUUCAGACAUAGCAGGAGGAGUUUGGUCUUAUAUUUGUAAAAUAUACCAUUUAUUUUUGGGAACUGAUUUUCUGAUUUCUGAGUAGAUUAAAGCUUUCUUUCUGUGUA